GACGAGGUGGCCGAGAAGUUAAGGCGAUGGACUGCUAAUUCAUUGGGCUCUGCCCGCGUGGGUUCGAAUCCCAUCCUCGUCG
rnacentral:tRNA from 1 species